rnacentral:rRNA from 1 species
GGGCCCGCACAAGCGGUGGAGCAUGUGGUUUAAUUCGAUGCAACGCGAAGAACCUUACCUACCCUUGACAUCCUCGGAAUCUGCCGGAGACGGCGGAGUGCCUUCGGGAACCGAGUGACAGGUGCUGCAUGGCUGUCGUCAGCUCGUGUUGUGAAAUGUUGGGUUAAGUCCCGUAACGAGCGCAACCCCUGUCCCUAUUUGCCAGCGAUUCGGUCGGGAACUCUAGGGAGACUGCCGGUGACAAACCGGAGGAAGGUGGGGACGACGUCAAGUCAUCAUGGCCCUUACGGGUAGGGCUACACACGUGCUACAAUGGCAGGUACAAAGGGUUGCAAGACGGCGACGUGGAGCUAAUCCCAUAAAGCCUGCCUCAGUCCGGAUCGGAGUCUGCAACUCGACUCCGUGAAGUCGGAAUCGCUAGUAA